rnacentral:rRNA from 1 species
AGCCUGUCCUAAAAUCGAUGAUCCCCGAUUCAACCUCACCACUUCUGGCUUUUCAGCCUGUAUACCUCCGUCCCAGCUCACCAUAUGAAUGAACUAGUGAGUCCCAUCGUCAUAACCGAUACAUCAGGUCAAGGUGCAGUAAAUGAAGUGGGAAGAGAUGGGCUACACUCUCUAUUCUAGCGUAAACGAAAAGUCAAUAUGCAAUCUGACUGGAAGGUGGAUUUAGAAGUAAAAAGUAAACAGAGUGUUCUUUUUAACCCGGUAUUGGGGUAUGUACAUACCGCCCGUCACCCUCUUCAAAAACACAAAAGUAGUAAUUAACACGACCCUUAAAUAUAAAGAAGAGGCAAGUCGUAACAUGGUAAGCAUACUGGAAAGUGUGCUUGGAU